rnacentral:rRNA from 1 species
UACGGAGGGAGCUAGCGUUGUUCGGAAUUACUGGGCGUAAAGCGCACGUAGGCGGCUUUGUAAGUUAGAGGUGAAAGCCUGGGGCUCAACCCCAGAAUUGCCUUUAAGACUGCAUCGCUUGAAUCCAGGAGAGGUGAGUGGAAUUCCGAGUGUAGAGGUGAAAUUCGUAGAUAUUCGGAAGAACACCAGUGGCGAAGGCGACUUACUGGACACAUAUUGACGCUGAGGUGCGAAAGCGUGGGGAGCAAACAGG